CCAUAGAAGUCAUCCCACAGUGCCUUCAAGGAGGGCAUCGGCACUGUGGAGGGUUUCUAUGUCA
rnacentral:pre_miRNA from 1 species